CAGAUCUGGAAAUAUUGCGGAUGUGGAAGAGUUGAGAGAACUGGUCAUAUUUAGCCUAGAGAAGAAGCUUGGAGAAUGGGAGGAUGAUGAUUAGCUUCAAAUAUUAGGUAGACACUCAUGAGAAAAGAUAUCAGAUGUAUUCUGCACUGCUCUAGUCUAGAGCUUGCUAUUCUAAGUGUGGUCCAUGGACUAGCAGCAUCAAUAUCCCGUGGGCACUUAGAAAUACAAAAUUUUAGGUCCCUCCCAGAUGUAGUGAACUCAUCCUUCACAGGAUCCCCAGGUGACUUGUGCCCACAUUAAGUUUGAGAAGUGCAGAUCUGGAGCACCGCCACUCAAGUCAUGGUCCGGGGACAAGUGCUCAUCUCCUGAACUGUUUGUUAAUGAUCUUCCAUGGGGCUAAAACUGAGCAUCCAGUGGACAGAUGUCAGGAGUUAAGGUGGAGGGGGCAGAAGAGAGGCGAAAGAUGAGUGACAGCACUGAUCUUCUCAUCCUCCAGAAGGGAAAGUUCAUUGAUACCAUCUAAAGUUGGAUAACACACGCAGCAGAGGAAAACACCCCUGAUUCUUUAACUUACUCCCACCCCACUAUUAAUGCAGGCAGACGUGGUGCUGAGUCAGUUAAAUCUGACCCUUCCCCCAAAGCCUAUGAUCUUAACUGGUGGCUGCAAGAAGAUGCUACAUCAUGGAGCAAUAGAAUCCCAGAUCAGUCGCUCUGGGGGAAGCCAGCUACCACGUUGUGAACAGCCCUAGGGAAAUGUCCAUGUGGUAAGGAAUGGAGCCUCCCGCCAACCGCCAUGUCAGUGAGCCAUCUUGGAAGUGGAUUCUCCAGCCUCAGUCAAGCCUUCAGAUAAUGCAGUCCCAGCUGAGAUCCUGACUGUGACCACAUAAGAGACCUGAGCUAGAACCACUCGGGUUGGCCACACCCAAAUUCCAGAUCCUCAGAAUCUGUGAGAGAUAAUAAAAGUUGUUUUAAGUGGCUACGUCUUGGAGUAAUUUGGCCUUUCAAAAAUAGAUACCAAAAUACACAUCUAAACUGGGUUAGUUGCUUUUAGCACCAGGAAGAGAUAAGGAAAAAGAAGAGAGGACAAGAAGGGAUAAGGGCUCAUCUUUG
rnacentral:lncRNA from 10 species